rnacentral:rRNA from 1 species
UUGAACGCUGGCGGAAUGCUUUACACAUGCAAGUCGAACGGCAGCACGGGGGCAGCCCUGGUGGCGAGUGGCGAACGGGUGAGUAAUACAUCGGAACGUGCCCGGUCGUGGGGGAUAACGUAGCGAAAGUUACGCUAAUACCGCAUACGAUCUGAGGAUGAAAGCGGGGGACCUUCGGGCCUCGCGCGAUCGGAGCGGCCGAUGUCAGAUUAGGUAGUUGGUGGGGUAAAGGCCUACCAAGCCGACGAUCUGUAGCUGGUCUGAGAGGACGACCAGCCACACUGGGACUGAGACACGGCCCAGACUCCUACGGGAGGCAGCAGUGGGGAAUUUUGGACAAUGGGCGCAAGCCUGAUCCAGCCAUUCCGCGUGCAGGACGAAGGCCUUCGGGUUGUAAACUGCUUUUGUACGGAACGAAAAGGCUCUGGCUAAUACCUGGGGCUCAUGACGGUACCGUAAGAAUAAGCACCGGCUAACUACGUG